rnacentral:lncRNA from 1 species
GGAAACUUGCCUUUUGAAGGUUUUGAUCCAAAGAUUCGAAGAAGGUGUAUGCUCGAAUCCUUUUUCUACUUUUCCUCCAUCCCCUCCCUGUUUCGUUUUGUGCACUCGUUUUCUUUCUUCUUCGCAACUACACCACGUGUCGAACAUCGAGGCACAGUCACCUGCUCUCUCUUACUCUCAUUCCUUCUUUUUCUUUCCCAAACACAGCUACCACAGCCGCCGCCGCUGCUGCUGCCACAAUCGCAGCCCCUUCCACCGCACUACCUUCCUUCCUCCCUUCUCUCGCAGACAUAACUGUUGCAUACGCAGUCGCUGCCGCUGCAACCGCAAUCCCGUCCGCAGCCCCUUUUUCCCCCCUUUCCUUUCUCUUUCCCAAAAGCAGCUACUGCAGCCACCACUGUUGCCGCAGCUACCGCAGCCAAUGUCGCAGCCGCAGCCGCAGACGCAGCCACGGCCGCAGCC